CAAGCCCCUUCAUUCAGCAAUUUUUCAAAUAUUAAUGAUGGGAACACAGUCACUCUCUCAUCACCUGUCAGACUGUAUACGUCUGCAGUUAAAAGUUUCCAUGAGACUAAAAACAUAUCAGAAGCAUCAGAUUUUUCUCCUGUUACUAAUGAAAAUUUACUGAAACCUGCUACAGUCCGGAAAACCAAACUCUCUCUGAGUAAGAAAAAUAGCACCUCUCCGGCAUUUACUCCAACUUCAUCAACUACUUUCAAUGAG